AAAGAGUUUUAGUUAAAAAAAUACAUUAAAAUGUGUAGGUUGCUCUGAAAGUAAUACCUCCCAUUUACUUCCAUGGAAAUUGCAACAUAUACAAAGACCACAAGAACAACACUUGAUAGAACAAAGUCUCAGCUAAAAAUAAUUAUUUUUCAACACAGUCACCACCAUCAGCUAUGCAUUUUCCCAGCAAUAAACAAGAGCCUGCAUGCUCUGCACAUGAAAGUCUGCACUAGCAGAGGUAAUCCAUUAUCACUACCCACUGCUGAAAUGCACCACCGACCCCUCACUGUACUCACAUCCACUGCUUGGUCUCCAUAAACGUUCAGCAAGCAUCGAUGAAUGUCAGUGAGUGCCAUCUUUUUCUGCAUGGCAAAAUCCAGUCACAUCUUUGCUUCAUAUGCACUUCCAUGUCAGACACCAUUUUGUCAGACUGCCUCUUUGCUGCCAUAGAAUCAUAGAAUUGUGAAGGUUGGAAAAAACCUCUAAGAUCAUCCAGACAACUGUCCACCUAUCACCAAUAUUUCCCCUAAACCACGACCCUCAGUACAACAUCUAAGUGUUUCUUGAAUGCCUCCAGAUUUGGUGAACCCACCACCUCCCUGAGCAGCCCGUUCUAGUGCCUGACCACUCUCUCAGAGUAGAACUAUUUCUUAACGUCCAACCUGAAUCUCCCCUGGUACAUUCCCUCCAUUCUUGUACUGAGGAACCCAAAACUGAAUACAGAUCUUGAGAAGCAGCCUUACCAGGGCUGAGUACAGAGGAACAAUCACUUCCCUGCUCCUGCUGGCAACUCUAUUUCUGAUACAAGCCAGGAUGUCAUUGGCCUUCUUGGCUGCCUGAAUACACUGCUUGGUCAUCUUCAGCUUCAGUUCAAGCAUCAACCAACACCCCCAGAUCCAUGUCUUCCACACAGUCUUCCAUCCACUGUGCUCUAAGCCUGUCGCAACUGUGUGCAACUUUUGAAAAGUUUCACUGUUAGUCAACAUAAAGCCACAGUAAAAGAAAGCAAGGGGAUUGCUGUCACUUUUGUUCUUCAAAGCACCAUUCACUUGUUCAAAUGAUUUAACAGCAAUGGUUUGUAUUUGUUUUUUUUUUUUGUUUCUUUGAUGUUAUUGCCGUUUUUAAUAAUCAUUAAUGUGAGAAAUUAAAAAGGUAUAUCCUAGAACCUUAUCAACCAAGAUUGCUGAGAAAAAAUACUGAGAAAGUGGACUGAAGCACUACUUGGCUUUUUACAUUUUCUUCUCAUAUCAGAGGUCUGGAAAGUGAAAAUUGAUACCUCUUAGGAGUAGUCAUUGUUCAAUGGAACCUCUCCCAGAAACAGUCAUUGAGUUCCUGACCCUUAAUAGAAAAUCAGCAAGCACAGAUCAGAUCUCAGAUCUACAGUUUGUAUCCACCUCCUUCCUCUUCACCUCUUCUUGCUGUCAGUACUAGAUCUCGUCCUUAGGGCAACAAUGCUGUAAUUGUAUUUUACUGCAGUCUUUGUGUGUACAAAUACAAGGUCAGUACUCCCUCUACAGAUAAUAUCAGUAUGAGGAAAAUGUAAAGAUUUAAUCUGUAAUCACAUAGCAUACAUGAACAAAAAAUUCUGUAGAAAUACAAAUUCAAAUAGGAUUCUGACUUGCCCACGUCUUGUAUUUCCCCAAUGCAAUCUGCAGCAAUAAAUUUCAUUACGUGUAAUUUGAAACAUUUAAAUUAAAUACACCACUGUACUUCUGCUGAAAGAAUCUAGCAAAAAUCCCAGGAAAUUAUUUAUAAUUUUUGAAAAUAAGCCAAUCCCCAAGGCUUUCUCUGCAUUUUGGUCCAUUCCAUAAUCAUAUGUCACAAGAGUGCUCAUGUCUAAGGUAAGAAUUUUCUGCACGAUGAC
rnacentral:lncRNA from 1 species